rnacentral:rRNA from 1 species
CCUACGGGAGGCAGCAGUGGGGAAUAUUGCACAAUGGGGGAAACCCUGAUGCAGCGACGCCGCGUGAGUGAAGAAGUCAUUCCUUAUGUAAAGCUCUAUCAGCAGGGAAGAAAAUGACGGUACCUGAGCAACAAUCCCCGGCUAACUACGUGCCAGCCGCCGCGGUAAUACGUAGGGGGCAAGCGUUAUCCGGAUUUACUGGGUGUAAAGGGAGCGUAGGCGGCAGUGCAAGUCUGGAGUGAAAGGCGGGGGCUCAACCCCCGGACUGCUCUGGAAACUGUACGGCUGGAGUGCAGGAGAGGUAAGUGGAAUUCGUGGUGUAGCGGUGAAAUGCGGAGAUAUUAGGAAGAACACCAGUGGCGAAGGCGGCUUACUGGACUGUAACUGACGUUGAGGCUCGAAAGCGUGGGGAGCAAACAGGAUUAGAUACCCGAGUAGUC